GCUGGAUCCAUUCUGUCACGGGGGAGACGCACCAAUCAACAUGCGAGUGUCACGUGUAACCAGAAAUGCAUCCCCACGUUUCAUCAUGUUCUGGAUGGAACCCGAAUCUGAAACUACGCCGUACGGUCGCUCUGGGAUCGUCUAGACUCGCUUGUGAACUUUCAGUGACUUCAUUCACACAGAUUAAUAAGUUGGCACAAAUUCAUCUACAAAACGAUCAGUAGCAAAAAACCCUCCUUACCUUCGCUCACUCAAUAAUUCCAACAUUUUGUUCUAAUAAAUUCAUCACUAUGACGGUUCAGAGAGGUCAUUUGUCAUCAUUUCAUUUUCUUGCACCCAAAGUCUGGAACUAGAAAAAAAAACCCACUAAAGCUCAGUAAGCUAACUUCAAUAUUGACCUCUAUAAACUCAGUAAAAUCCAUGAUCGAUGUACCUGCUAUUAAAAACGGUUUACUUAUGUCUUCGUGUUUAUUCAGUAUGAAAACGGUUGAAAUUCUAUUUUUCUUUCUCUGUUUUGAGAUAUUCUUCUGUUUUCUGCUGCAUGAUGAAAAUGACGAUUUGUUCUCAAACAGCUCACCUGCUUAAAUAAAGGAUAACUGAAAAAAAUAUAAAUAAAAUUUGAGAACAAAAUGAA